CCUACGGGGGGCAGCAGUAGGGAAUCUUUCACAAUGGGCGAAAGCCUGAUGGAGCAACGCCGCGUGCAGGAUGAAGGCCUUCGGGUUGUACACUGCUUUUAUAAGCGAGAAAUAUGAUGGUAACUUAUGAAUAAGGAUCGGCUAACUACGUGCCAGCAGCCGCGGUCAUACGUAGGAGCCGAGCAUUAUCCGGAGUGACUGGGUGUAAAGAGUUGCGUAGGUGGCAUAAUAAGUAGCUAGUGAAAUCUGGUGGCCCAACCAUUCAGACUAUUAGCUAAACUGUUAAGCUCGAGACCGUUAGGGGUAACUGGAAUUUCUAGUGUAGGAGUGAAAUCCGUAGAUAUUAGAAGGAACACCAAUAGCGUAGGCAGGUUGCUGGGACGGUUCUGACACUAAGGCACGAAAGCGUAGGGAGCAAACGGGAUUAGAUACCCGUGUAGUC
rnacentral:rRNA from 1 species